rnacentral:rRNA from 1 species
AGUGAACGCUGGCGGUAGGCCUAACACAUGCAAGUCGAACGGCAGCACAGUAAGAGCUUGCUCUUACGGGUGGCGAGUGGCGGACGGGUGAGGAAUACAUCGGAAUCUACUUUUUCGUGGGGGAUAACGUAGGGAAACUUACGCUAAUACCGCAUACGACCUACGGGUGAAAGCAGGGGAUCUUCGGACCUUGCGCGAUUGAAUGAGCCGGUGUCGGAUUAGCUCGUUGGCGGGGUAAAGGCCCACCAAGGCGAGGCUACGUAGCCGGCCUGAGAGGGUGCUCGGCCACACUGGGACUGGUACACGGCCCAGACUCCUGCGGGAGGCAGCAGUAGGGAAGCUUCGGCAAUGGACGGAAGUCUGACCGAGCAACGCCGAGUGAGUGAAGAAGGUUUUCGGAUCGUAAAGCUCUGUUGUAAGAGAAGAACGAGUGUGAGAGUGGAAAGUUCACACUGUGACGGUAUCUUACCAGAAAGGGACGGCUAACUACGUG